rnacentral:rRNA from 1 species
UACGUAGGGGGCAAGCGUUAUCCGGAUUUACCGGGUGUAAAGGGAGCGUAGACGGCUUUGCAAGCCAGAUGUGAAAGCCCGGGGCUCAACCUCGGGACUGCAUUUGGAACUGUAUGGCUGGAGUGUCGGAGAGGCAGGCGGAAUUCCUAGUGUAGCGGUGAAAUGCGUAGAUAUUAGGAGGAACACCAGUGGCGAAGGCGGCCUGCUGGACGAUGACUGACGUUGAGGCUCGAAAGCGUGGGGAGCAAACAGG